CUGGUGUUUGAGCAGCCAAACCAAACAGGCUCCAGCCCUGCUGGCCUGCACUGGAGGGCCCUGGUCCUGCCUGUGUGUGAGAUGCUGGACUUGCCUCUGUGGAUGUCUGCUGAGCUCUCACUGCAGGGGACUGCCAGGCUGACACGCCCCUCUGCAGGCUGGACCAGCCCUGACACUGUCCAGAACUUUGGCCACGGA